UUCUUUUAUUUUCUUCUUUCUCACACACAAUUUCACAUACAUUUACAUUUGUAUAUUAGAAAAUACAGAUGCAUUACAUAGCAUCAGUGGAAGAAGGAUCGAAGAAACAGAGCACAAGAAGAGUUAGUAAAGGUUGUUUGAUGAAUUAAUUAUAAUGGAGCCCUUUUUUUAAUGAUACAAUUCAGGAGAGGAUUUGUAGGGGGGGAAAAAUGAGAAAUUGGAGCUUCGAGGCAUGAUGAUGCACAUGGGAAGACCGGCAAGAACAAGAUUUUUGGUAAAUAGUAUUACAAGUAACCUUUUUUAUUUUCUUCAUGUUAAAGAUCAGAUUUCAUUGCGUAUAGAUAAAUUUCAUGCAGUGACGGAGCCAGGAUUUUCAUUAAGGGGAGUCAAAAUAUAAAGAAACAAACUCACCAAGAAGUCAAGGGGUGUCAUUAUAUAGUAUAUAUACAUAUUUUUAAAAAUAUUACCGAGCUAAACAAUAUAAUUUUCCGACGAAGGGGUAUCGGUUGACAUCCCUUGGGUGCAAGUGGCUCCGCCACUGAUUUCAUGAUACUAUAAUUAACGUAAAAGAAUUAAAGUAAACUCUUUUAUAAGUAUUCUCACAUUUUCUAAUUAUUAUAUUAUCCCUCAAAUAUUUUCUUUUAUUCUAUUUAGAUUACUACAACUGAGCAAUAGUAAUGUGAUUAUAUGAAGUUGUCAUGAUUUACUAUUUACAUGGUAACAUCAUAAGUUUGAACUGUUUUGUUACAUAUUUUUUAAAGUCUGUAUUAAUUAUGUGAAAGGAUAAAUAAUUUUGAAGUGUUAGUGGAACAGAAAGAAACAAGAACUCUAAAAGAAUUCGAAUAGACACUUUUUCCUCCAUGCUUAUAUGUGAAACAAAAAAAUUUAUCUUGAAACAAAAGAAGCAAUUUUGAAUGUUUUCUCGGAGAAAUAGGAGAAAAUAAAACUUUCAUAGACAUGAAGAGGGUGAAGGGAUGGGCCAAAGCUUCUAUCUUUUUCAGUAACGUAGAAAAGAGGAAAGAAAAAGGAAGUAGCUAUAGGAAAAGAAAGAAAAAGAAUAAAAAAUGAUAGACGAUACAAGAGAUAGUAUCAUUUUUGCUCGGAUGAGUACCUUAUUAAUUUAGGGGAUGAAUAAUAUCAUUAUUCAAUUGGUAAUAUCAUUAUUUCUUUGUACUUUUUUUACUAAUAAUUCCUUUUUUUAUUAUUUUCUUUGUAAUAUUUUCCUUGUACAUUUUAAUUUUUCUUCAUAUACUUUUGCAUAUUGUAUUUUGUGUGUUUCGAAAAGGUUUUAGAUCAAUAAGCAAUUUCAUAAAAGAAAUGCUUGAAGUAAUCCUACAUUUAUUUUGGUACGAGCUGAGAACACAUAUUAUCUUAUAAUAGAUUGACUUUAUACAUUUCCUUUGUCCCUUCAUAUUUUUUCCAUCGUUUUAUCAUAUAUAAUUAUUAUUUUUUUGGAUUAUUUUAGAAUUUUUUUCACCCAAUCUAUUAUUAUCAUGUAAACUACUACACCAUUUUCAUGAUAGACAGACAUAACACCAAUUUUUCUUUCUCUAUGAUUUUCUACGGGUUUCUUUGAUUUUUCACCGUCAAAAACCAAAAUUCACCGUACAAGAAAAACACACAACGCUUCAAAAACAAUCGUUUUUUUUAUAACAGAUUCUUUACUCUCUCUGUUUCUCUUCUUCCCUCUAUCUAUGUAUUCAUCGUCCUUUGUCUUUCUAUUUUCCUAUUGUCCUUUUUGUUUGCCUUUGCUGAAAUUCCCUAUACUCCUCCCUCUUUUCUCUUCUACACUGCUUUUGCUACACCUUUGUUGAUUUACUUUAAUUCCUUAGCUAAUUUCUAAAUUAUUUCCUCACCGCCGUUUCCAUUUGUGUUUUUCACUUACUUGCACUUUGAUUUUUGAUUAUGCUCUGUCUUUGACUUACUCCUUCGCCAGCGCAGAAGAAUUGGAUAACGACUGCUUAUUUUGACGCCCAUGAAGCGUUCGUAAAUAUGCCCCAUACUUGAUCUUACCCACAGAUUCAGAAAAUGCUGCAAAUUUAAUCAACACUUGCCGGUCUGUAAUCCUUUCAAAGUUAACCUUUACCAACUGCGCCUUCUUUGCAUAUCUUUUCAGCAUUUUAAAUGUUAGACCCUUGAAGUUUAACAAUUCAGUUGAGCACAUGAUUUAUUUUUCUUUUUACGUUGAUAGAUGGUAGUGCAAACGAACAAAAGGCCGUGAAAAGAUUCAGUUUGGCCUUCUCCAUUCGUAUUUGAGGUACGUUCCGAAGAUUCUUAACUAUUAUUAUGCUUUUUGCACAAUUGAUAACCAAAAGUAUGAAGAUUCUAAUAUACAUUACUUUUUCAAAAUUGAUAACUAACGGUGUGCCUGAUAUGGAGUACCCGAAUUUUACUUUACUGAUACUUUAAUGGUUAAAGAGUUCGUCAACGAUGUUGAUUAUAGUCUACUGAUAUGGAGUUUAGACUAUAUUAAAUUUUCAUUGUAGCCUCAUAUAUUGGUAUUCAAACUCAAAGCAUUGCGAAUUAAUUUUUAAAAUAAGAUCUUCUUGAUGUAGACACUGAGACACGUAACUUAAAAGGUUAAAGGAAAAAAAAUUCAAAGUCAGAGAGCAUUGGUGGAGGUUAUAAAAUCAAUAAUACUCCAAAAUAAUCAAGAACCAAACAAAAUCAACAUUUUUCCUAUAAAAUCUACUCUGCUCUACCAAGGUUCUUUCCUUAUUUUGAUUACAACAAUUUAUUUUCCUGUCAAGAACACGCAUUUGAACUAACUUGAAAUCUGUAAGAAAAAAUGCAAUAAAAAACUUCUAAAACUUUUAUAAGAAAUUUAAACCUAAAUGCAUGGGAAAUAUUUUGUAUCUAAGAGAACCUUUUUACUUUGCAGAGAACCAAUAACAUUUCCAAAUGAGUAUUAAGGCUAGAAUAUCGGAUAUGAAGUAAUACAGAUAAUCAUGACAUAAUUUUAUGCGGCAUAAUUGAUUGCUUAAUUGGUCUACUGUAAAUUGAUUGUUAUUUAUCCCUAAUCAGUAGCAAUUUUUUUACCUUCUUAACUCAACUUGAUAAAGAUUUAUCAUAUAUGUGUAUAUAAUAUAUUUAUGGGUGAAGAAAAUUAAGGAGGAAGAAAACUAACUACCCUGCAAUGAAUAUCCAUAUAAAUAGCAAAUUGGAAAACAACUGAAGGAAAAACCAAUGAAGAUUAAGACUCACCAACGGUUGUAGCAGCGAUGAAGGGAUGAGCGAAGGUAGUUAAAAUACUAAAUCGACAUCAAAGAAAUAGUGCUAGAAAUAAGAGAGGAAAAAAAAAGCACAAAAGCCAGAGAAGAAGAUGCUCACAAAAAUGCACAUAUGAGGCGAUAGGGAGAGUUAAGUGCAAUCACUCAUUAUUAACGGUUAGGGAAUAUUUUUUUAUUUUAUUUAAUAGUGAUGACUGAUGACCAUUGAACUUAUUUUUAUGUCUAUAAAUGUUGAUUAUAGUUUACUGAUAUGGAGUUUAAACUAUAUUAGAUUUUCAUUGUAACCUCAGAUAUUAGUACCGGAUAGAUCCUGGUACGUAUUAUUUUCGUUUUAUUAUAUAGAAUUCUUGCUAUAGUAGUAUUAUUAUACCGUUAUCCUCUGUUGUAAAACCCAAAAGCCUCAUUAACUCUGACUGUUUCUUGGUGAUGUUUAAAUGGAUCUUCCGCUCAUCCAUUCUUCUUCUUAAAGUCUGAAUGUGUUUUGUUCAAUCUGUCAUUUUGUUGACAGGUUAGAUUAUCCUCUCGCCCGACUAGGUAUCUGGGACGUGACGUUGCAGCUCUUUAAGAUGUUGCCAUUCAGGUAGUCAUUUCUUUGGCUUAAAAUUUUAUUUUCAGUCACAAAUGUGUUUAAUAUUUUGUUAGGUGAUUUAGCAAAUAUUAGUUCUUCCUUUUCCCUUGUUGAGUUUCCUUUCACUCUAUUUUUGACAUGUAGGAAGCUUAUUUAGGUAACCUUCAAUUUCCAGAUUGUGUCCAUUAUUUCAAAGAAAACUUGCAAAGGUUGUCUGGCAUAAAUUACGCCCCGAUAAAGAUACGAAAAAGACGUUGAAUCGUGUAUUUUUUCUUGGGUCUUAUAUAGCGGUUCUAUAUUAAAAUUUACUACACUCUUUCUAAUUGAAAAAUGAAACUCUACUUGCGUUGUGUAUUGUGUAUAAUUUUAAACCAUAAAGACACUGGACAUUUACAUCAUUCUAUUGGAGAAUGAGGCCGGUAAUGUGCUUAGUUGUAUGGUUCUCCCUUAUAAUUGAGUACCUCCGAUUUAACACGAAACAGAUUGUUUAAUUGCCAAGAGGUUAGUGUAUUCAUCUUCUCGAGUUAUCCUUCAGUUCUAGCAUUUUACUCCCUAAAGACGAUUGCGCUCAUUUGAGACGACACAAGUAGAGCUAUCACAAAAUUAUCAUGGAUGCUUACGGGAAAUGUAGGAUCUUCCUCCCUUAAGUUUUAGUUGUUGACUAUGAAAUUUUUGUACAUAAAGGAAGUCAGUAAUGUUUACAUUAUCUUUGCAUGUUGAAUUUGAUUAAAAUUUGUCAAUAAUUUAUAUACAAAUAUAAAGCUAAAAAAAUAAAAUCUGAUGUGGAACCUCCCAUGCUCAGGGAUGUACGAUUUAUCUCUUUUCUUCUUUUUUUGGAAAUUUUCCUGUCUACAUGAUUGUUAAAUAAAUCCACAAGAAUAAACACAUCACUUUUGAAUUACUGUAUAAUUUUUUUUUCUUUUUUAUGUUUAUUCGAUCUGGUGAUUUAUACACAGUUUACUUGCCUUGCAGUUUAUGCAGUAGCGCAGAGAUGUCAUGACCCGAAAUUUUCCACCGACGGGACCGUGAUGGCGCCUAAUAUUUCACUUGCUAGGCAAUCCAACAUUAGAGAAUCAUUAAACCAAUUCCUUAUUCACAUUCAGUAAUUAACAAUAAUUAACUAAGAUGAAAUAUAAUAAGUGUGGAAUAUUAUAAAAC
rnacentral:lncRNA from 1 species